rnacentral:lncRNA from 1 species
CAAGAGUAGAGUAGUAUAAAGAUCAGGAUUACAGUCAUCCAGGAAUUAAGGGGGAACUAAAAGUGUGGAAUGCUAAACUAAUUCAAACUAGAUAAAUUGAAAAGUGUCUCAAAAUAACAUAAUUUAGAAAUGUUCAUAGGGGCAUAACAGCCCAGAAAUUCCUAGAGAGUCUAGGCAGCGACGUCUUCAUUCUCCUCCAGGACAUUCUCCACAGACAC